CCUACGGGAGGCAGCAGUGGGGGAUAUUGCACAAUGGGGGGAACCCUGAUGCAGCGACGCCGCGUGGGUGCAGGAGCGUUUCGGCGCGUAAAGCCCUAUCGGCAGGGAAGCAGAUGACGGUACCUGACCAAUAAGCCACGGCUAACUACGUGCCAGCCGCCGCGGUAAGACGUAGGGGGCAAGCGUUAUCCGGAUUUACUGGGUGUAACGGGGGAGCAGACGGCAAUGCAAGCCAGGAGUGAAAGCCCGGGGCCCAACCCCGGGACUGCUCUUGGAACUGCAUGGCUGGAGUACAGGAGGGGCAGGCGGAAUUCCUAGUGUAGCGGUGAAAUGCGUAGAGAUGAGGAGGAACACCGGUGGCGAAGGCGGCCUGCUGGACUGUGACUGACGUUGAGGCCCGAAGGCGUGGGGAGCAAACAGGAUUAGAUACCCCAGUAGUC
rnacentral:rRNA from 1 species